rnacentral:lncRNA from 1 species
UGAGAUAAUAUUGAUUUCUUUCCUUCAUUUUUAAACUAUCAAAAUAUCUUUCCAAACGUAACAUGAGAUAAUUUAAGAGAGGCAUAGGCAUAUAGUUUACAUGAAGGACAGCUAAUAAAAUAUGAUAUAUCCAUAUACAUUAGUUUUUUGGUAAAUACAUCCACAUAGAUUUAUAAUUUAUUCAAUGGUGAUUGACUGAUUUUGUAAAGAAUGUAUGUACAUAUCUCAAUGCAUCUUCAUUACUAUCAUUACUUUGAAGGAUUUAAUUAUUAUGGAGUGUAUUAUCUGAAUAUAAUUUCACAAUGUUUUGGAUAUUGAGACAAAACAUACGAAAACUACAAUAUCCUUAGCCAACAAAUCAAGAGAAAAUAACUCAUACAAAAACUCUAAAGAAAUAGAGUACCUGAGAAUUGAGAUGUUACUUCACAUAACCAACACAGAAAUUCAGCGUCUUUUACUAAGAGAUCUAUUAUGUAACUCUAGCAAUCGCCCAAGAGUUUCUAAAGACCAUCUCU